rnacentral:rRNA from 1 species
GUGAGGAAUAUUGCGCAAUGGAGGCAACUCUGACGCAGCCAUGCCGCGUGCAGGAAGAAGGCGCUACGCGUUGUAAACUGCUUUUAACCGGGAAGAAACCCCAGGACGUGUCCUGGGUUGACGGUACCGGAGGAAUAAGCACCGGCUAACUUCGUGCCAGCAGCCGCGGUAAUACGAAUGGUGCAAGCGUUAUCCGGAUUCAUUGGGUUUAAAGGGUGCGUAGGCGGAGCGUUAAGUCAGUGGUGAAAUCCUGCAGCUUAACUGUAGACUUGCCAGUGAUACUGGCGCUCUUGAGUGCGCUUGAAGUGGGCGGAAUGUGCCGUGUAGCGGUGAAAUGCUUAGAUAAGGCACAGAACACCAAUUGCGAAGGCAGCUCACUAAGGCGAUACUGACGCUGAGGCACGAAAGCGUGGGGAUCGAACAGGAUUAGAUACCCCUGUAGUCC